rnacentral:rRNA from 1 species
UACGUAGGGUCCAAGCGUUGUCCGGAUUUAUUGGGCGUAAAGAGCUCGUAGGCGGUUCCGUAAGUCGGAUGUGAAAACUCGGGGCUCAACCCCGAGACGCCAUCCGAUACUGCGGUGACUUGAGUCUGGUAGGGGAACACGGAAUUCCUGGUGUAGCGGUGAAAUGCGCAGAUAUCAGGAGGAGCACCGGUGGCGAAGGCGGGUCUCUGGGCCGAUACUGACGCUGAGGAGCGAAAGCGUGGGGAGCGAACAGG